AUGAGCAGUAGCAACGGUGUCCCAGAACAGGAAGACUCAGUGCUGUUCCGGAGUGUCACAGGCCAGAGUAAUGAUUCUGACAUUUGGGAAUAAAAGCUUAUGAUAAAGCUGUGGCUUCCUUCAAGCAUGCUCUAAAGAAUGGUGACAUUUGUGAAACUUCAGAUAAACCAAAGGGCACAUCUAGGUGAAAACCUCUUAAGAAGAAUAAAAGCCAGAAGACUGUUUCAACGUCCUUGAAACAGUGGAAAGCUGGUGACAAGUGUUCUGCUAUUUGGUCAGAAGAUGGCUAUAUUUAUCCAGCUACCAUUGCUUCAGUUGAUUUUUAAGAGAGAAAACUGUAUUGUGAUUUACACUGGAUAUGGAAAUAGAGAAAAAUCUGAUCUGCUUUCCCCAACCUCUGAAGUAGCUAAUAAUAUAGAACAGAAAGCUCAGGAGAAUGAAAAUGAAAGUCAAGUUUCUAAAGAUGAAAGUGAAAACUCCUCUAGAUCUCCUGGUGGAAAUAAAACAAAUAACAUCAAGUCAAAAGCAAUUCCAUGGAACUAUUUCCUCCUUCCACUACUACCAAUGCCAGAGUCAGGAUUGGGACCAGGAGAGCCAGGCCUAAAAUUCAGUAGCCCACACCACCUUCACCACCACGUCAUGUUGGUUACCUACAUUUCCUUCAGGCCCAUCAAUAAUUCUCCACCCCAACCCCACCUCCGAUAUGUCCAGAUGUCUCUUGAUGAUUCUGGUGCUUUGGGAACUAUGUUACUCUCUUGGUAAAUGAGUGGCUACCAUAUUGGCUAAUACAUGGGGUCUCAAAGUCAAAAAGAAGCAAGGUGCUCACAUUUCAAUUAA